rnacentral:rRNA from 1 species
CGAAGAACCUUACCAAGGCUUGACAUAUACCGGAAACAUCCAGAGAUGGGUGCCCCGCAAGGUCGGUAUACAGGUGGUGCAUGGUUGUCGUCAGCUCGUGUCGUGAGAUGUUGGGUUAAGUCCCGCAACGAGCGCAACCCUCGUUCUAUGUUGCCAGCACGUGAUGGUGGGGACUCAUAGGAGACUGCCGGGGUCAACUCGGAGGAAGGUGGGGAUGAGGUCAAAUCAUCAUGCCCCUUAUGUCUUGGGCUUCACACAUGCUACAAUGGCCGGUACAAAGGGCUGCGAAACCGCAAGGUGGAGCGAAUCCCAAAAAACCGGUCUCAGUUCGGAUUGGGGUCUGCAACUCGACCCCAUGAAGUUGGAGUCGCUAGUAAUCGCAGAUCAGCAACGCUGCGGUGAAUACGUUCCCGGGUCUUGUACACACCGA